UACGUAGGGUCCGAGCGUUGUCCGGAAUUACUGGGCGUAAAGCGCGCGCAGGCGGCCCGCGAGGUGUCACGUGAAAGCCCCGGGCUCAACCCGGGAGGGUCGUGGCAAACCGGCGGGCUUGAGGCCGGUAGAGGUGGGUGGAACUCCUGGUGGAGUGGUGAAAUGCGUAGAGAUCAGGAAAAACACCCGUGGCGAAGGCGGCCCACUGGGCCGGUACUGACGCUGAGGCGCGAAGGCGUGGGGAGCGAACGGG
rnacentral:rRNA from 1 species